UCCCUGGUGGCUCAGAUGGUAAAGAAUCUGCCUGCAAUGCAGGAGACCCGGGUUCGAUCCCUGGGUCGGAGAG
rnacentral:tRNA from 1 species